CUGCAAUCAAUUAACACAAACACAACCAAUUAGUUCAAACUGACCAAUAGCAAGCUCACAAUCUCAUUGCUAUCAUAUUUAAUUUAAUUGAGGCACCUCCAUCUUGUUACAGAACUCCAAGAUUUCCUUUGGCUGAGAAGGUACUGAACAUGCUCUCAAAAUGUUGGUGCCUGGAAAAUACAUGUUUCUGAGUCCAGUUGGGGGCAGUGAAGCAACAUAUCGGAUGCCAACUGCCGAGAAACUCCAAAGAUUUCCCCUGUUCACCCAUGCCAGUGAGGCCUGAUCGCUGAAGUAGACAAACUGAGACACUUGGAGGCUCAGCUAAACACUUCGGCGCAACAGAGCUUUGGGUGCCAAUUUCUUUGCCACAGAAAGGAAUGUGCAAACUGAAAGACAAUGAAGAAAUCAAAGUUUAAUUGACUGCCAAAGAGGUUGAAUUUCAAACUGAAGUGAUCGAAAUGAAGAAAGUGAUUGAAGGUACCUUCACAGAUCCAGUGAAGGGAGUCUACUACUUCACAUUAUGUACGUUUGUCUACAAUGACCACAAGGGUGCUGAUGGAGACAGUGCGGACAUUUUGAAUCUGAAUAAUGGGGACAGGGUCUGUGUGGAACUGUGGGAACAGUGCCAGGUGUAAGACAACAAUGAUGGGCACACUACCUUCAGUGUGUAAAAUAGAUGUUAUAACUUGUAAAUGAGAAUUACCUCCCUGCCAUGAAAUGCACACUAGGGGUGUGUCCCAAUAAUCUGUGUGUGUACUCUUUCACUAAAACCAUUGAAUUGGCGGAGGCAUGGGCUAGUGGUAAUUUCCAACAUAUUUCUUAUUCCAUUCAGCAGUAAUUCCCUCUAAAUUAGUGCUGGGAGGUGAACAAGUGCACACUGGGAGUUAUGAGCGCUAAUUGGGACAGAGCCUCUCUCUGAAAUGAAGCAGGAAUUAUCUUGACGGUGACGGAAUUUAGUGAGAAUUAACUCCACUGUAUACCUAUGCUGAAUCCCAAACCAGCCCUGUUUUCUCAUGGACUGCUCUUGCAAGUUGUAUUUUCUCUUUUUAAAGUUUUCACAAUAUUUCUGACCUUUUUUGUGAUUUGUUUAUGGAAAAGCCUGGAUUAUAAUUUAUGAACUUCUCAUGCCUCCAUGUUAUUUUUCUAUGCUGUUAACUUAGUGUUUUUUUAAAUGACUGAUUAUCUGUAGACAUUGUUUUUGAACUGUUGAACUUCAGUAUGCCAAUGCAAUUCAUUAGACAUUUUCAGACUGACUGUCAUGUGGUCCUCAGUGUUCUCUGUGUAAUAAUAUACU